ACAGCACAGCCUUUUCUCGUGCUGAGCGGCUUCUGAGCCAGAGGCGCGGAAGCCUGACCUGCGAAGGCCAGAGCAGACCUGAGUCGCAGCAAAAGCACGUGCGGCCGUGUUCGUUUUCUCUUUACUGUCCUCGUCUGAUUCUCUCUUAAAAACCAGCAGGUAACUUUUGAGACCCUCGCAGACACGGUUGCCACCCCGAUCCCCAGCUCUCUAAACCGAGGCGGAGAUAAGGUCCCGCCGAGGCUCUCGGUCCAGGCGAGGGCCGCCCCCGCCCCCCGCCCUGCAGUCCACGGAACUGUGGUGAAGCGCGGUGGCAGCGGCGGCCGGAGGGGGGGCGGCGAGCGGCUCUUCUCUAGGAGAAGACGUGGAGCACUUAUAGCCUUUUGGCUGGCAUUCCUCAGAAGGUCAAGUUCACUGUCACCACGGGCCAUUACACAGUAAAAAACGGGGACAGCCUCCAGCUCAGCAACGUAGAAGCCAUGCUUAUCCUGUGUCCUGCCGAGAACAGAGCCGUGAUCUAUUCCAACACGCGGGAAAAGGCUUCGGACGCGUCACUGCGGAUUCAGUCGUCUGACAAGGUCACAAGCAUCAGUCUGCCAGCGGCACCUGCGUAUCACCUGAUCGAAUUUGAACUGGAAGUUCUCUCUUUACCUUCAGCUCCGGCAGCUGGAGGGGAGAGCACCGUGCCGGGGAUGACAGAGCCCCCUAGGAAGCACAAGGACACACAGCAAGCCGGCCCCUGCAUGGCUACCACGGAUCACAAAGUAAGGAGGGCAGGAGCGCUCUGGGGGGGGUUAGCUUUUCUCUCUGUGGAUCUCCCCUUCUGAGAUGAGAGGACGUCUUGCAAAGGCAGACAGGCUCUUGACUUUCCCGUCCCAGUUCAGGGGGGAGGACAGUGUGUCGUGAGAGACACAGUGUUGGCUUAGGGGACGGUAAGUGUGCCGAGGCUAAAGGGCGCUCUGUGUCUCAGCGCGUCCCUCUUUGUUUAUUGACACCUCGUCUCAUCCUUAGCAAGGAGGAAACACUAUAUUGUUUUGUGCUUUUGGUGCAAGUAUUUCCUGAGUUGGUGGAAAGAUCCGUGAUCCAAAUCCACAGUCCAUCAGCUCACAGGAUGUUUACUAGCAUCAUGCUUAUUCCGAGUCUGUCCUUAUCUUGUAACACAGGUAGCAAUUCUUUCUGAGGGCGUUUGAGCAGCCCAAGGGUAGAAGUGUAUGCUCGUGACCCCACAGGACUGUAGUCUUUGCAUACCUUUUUAAAAAAUUUAUUUAUUUAUUUUGCUUUUUAGGGCCACACCUGCGGCAUAUGGAGGUUCCCACGCUAGGGAUCCAGUCAGAGCUACAGCUGCCGGCCUCCACCACAGACACAGCAGUGCAGGAUCCGAGCCAUGUCUGCAACCUACACCACUGCUCAUGGCAACACCAGAUCCUUAACCCACCGAGCGAGGCCAGGGAUCGAACCCGAAACCUCGUGGUUCCUCGUCGGAUUUGUUUCCGCUGCGCCACGACAGGAACGCCAGUUUCUGCAUACUUUUUAACAGCGGCUCCCUGAGGCUCUGGCUUCUAGUCCAUUUGAACAUGGGUGCUGGGGUUGUCCUCUCUGGGACACUGACAGGUCUUGGCACAUCCCCACCUGCUGGGAGCUAUUAGAAGUAUAAUAGGCUGCUUGACAAGCACAGAGGUUUGCGAGACAGCCAAGAGCCGGGGCAGGGCCCGACAGCAAGGUUUACCUCCUGCAUGAGGCCACACUUUACAGAGAGGCGGUUGUGUCAUCUGCUGACACAGAGAAAACGACAGAGUCAAGCAAAAUGAAGAAACAGAGGAGCAUGUUCCAGGGGGAAGAACGAGAUGAAAAGGAAUCUCGGGGGGAAAGCCUUAAUGCGACAGAGAUGAGCACGUUAUCCGGUAACGAAUUCAAGGUAAUGGUCGUGUGUAGGCAUUCCCAGCACGGCGCAGCAGAGGCGAAUCCCACGAGGAACCAUGAGGCUGCAGGUUCUGGUCCUGCCUCGAUCCAUGGGUUAAGGAUCCGGCGUCGCAGUGAGCUGUGGUGCAGGUCACAGACGCGGCUCAGAUCUGGGGUUGCUGCGGCUGUGGCGGAGGCCAGCGGCUACGGCUUCGAUUGGACCCCCAGCCUGGGAACCUCCAUAUGCUGCGGGUGUGGCCCUAAAAAGCAAAAGCCAAAAAAAAAAAAACCAAACAUAAAAUGUUGGGGGUGUGUAAACAUGUUGAACUUUAAAACAGGAUCCAGCUUCAGUUGUUAUAACUUAAAGUAGACUUAUGGAUACAGAUUGUUACAUGUAAGCCUCCUGGAGACCACAGAGCACAACCUACAGGAACUACACAGAAGAUAAAGGAAUAUAAACACACCACCAAAGAAACUCAUUAAACUACAAAGGAAGAGAGAGAGCAAGAGAAAGAGACAGAGGCAGAAAAACCAUCAACAAAAUGACAACAAGCACAUAUCUCAGUAAUUACUCUAAGUGCAAAUAAUAGACCAAAUUCUGCAAUCAAAACACAAAGCGGCUGAGUGGAUUAAAAAAAAUCAAGACUGGGCAGCCAGGUUGCGAAUCCGACUGCCGUGGCUCAGGUCACUGCGGAAGUGCCUGGCACACUGAGCUAAAGGGUCCGUGUUACUGCAGCUGCCGCUCAGAUUCAGUCCCCAGCACAGGAACUUCCAUGGGUGCAGCUGUUUAAACAGAAGAUAUCCAGACCCACCUUUUAGCUGCCUGCCGGGAGAGGCGCUUAGUUGGGAGGACACACAAACUGAAAGUAAAGGUUGGAGAAGGUCCGCCGCACGACUGGAAACAAGGAAAGAGCCAGGAGGUCGCACCGACCUCGGACAAGAGAGCCUUUAACCAGAGACGGCGGCAAGAGGCAAGCGUGGGUGUGACGACGGGGUCAGUCCCAUACAGAGGUAGGACGUCUGUGGGGGUUUUGCCCCCAGCAGGGAGCCCUUAAGAUAGAAAGCGAACGUGAACAUAUCCGAAGGGCCAGCCGGCAGUGGAGUGAUGCUGGGGCUUUGACGCCGCACCUACGUAAACGAGUAGGUCAUCCAGACAGGAAAUCAGUGAGGACACACUGGCCUUCAGUGUGUUAGACCAGAUGGAUUUAACAGACAUUUCCAGAACAUGCAUUCCAAGAACAACAGAAUACGCGUUCUUCUCAAGUACAUAUGGCACAUUUUCCCAAAUAGAUCGUAUGUUAGAACACCAAACAAGUCGCAGUGAAUUUAAGACGUUUGAAGUCACAUCAAGCAUCUUUUCCAACCACGUGGUACGACUGCAGAAGUGAAUUACGCAAAGAGAAGUGCAGAAACGUGUGGAGACUAAACAGCCUGCUGCCGAACAACCAGCAGGGCAGGCGAGCGAAGAAACCCACAGAGAAAGAAAAACCCACCUUGAGACAAGUGAAAAUGGAAGUGGAACCUGCCAACACUUAAGAGAUGCAGCAAAGAAGCUCCCGGAGGGAAGUUGAUAACAAUAAAAGCCUUCCUCAGGGAGCAAGAGGGAGUUCCCCUCAUGGCUCCGUGGUUAACGAACCCGACUGGCAUCCGUGAGGACCGGGUUCGAUCCCUGCCUUGCUCAGUGGGUUAAGGAUCCAGCGCUGCCGAGAGCUGUGGUGUCGCUCGCAGACACAGCUGGGAUCUGACGUUGCUGUGGCUGUGGGACAGGCCAGCAGCGUAGCUCUGAUUCAACCCCUAGCCUGGGAACCUCCAUGUGCUGCAGGUGUGGCCCUAAAAAGGCAAAGAAAAACAAAAGUUUCAAAUGAACAAUGUGACUUUACAUCUCAAGGAGCUAGAAAAAGAAGAACAAAGGUCAGAGUUAGCAGAAGGAAGGAAGUUACAAACGAUCAGAAGAGAAAUGCAGGAAACAGACUAAAAAGACCAUAGAGACAGUCCCAAACCAGGGGCCACACACCCAGCUGGUGUCCGUGAGGACGCUGGUUCGCUGGGUCCCUGGCCGCGCUCGCUGGGAUCCUGCGUGGCUGGGGCUGUGGUGGAGGCCGGCAGCUCUGGCUCCGAUUCGACCCCUAGCCUGGGAGCCUCCACAUGCUGCGGCCCAAAAAAGG
rnacentral:lncRNA from 1 species